rnacentral:rRNA from 1 species
UACGUAGGGCGCAAGCGUUGUCCGGAAUUAUUGGGCGUAAAGAGCUCGUAGGCGGUUUGUCGCGUCUGCUGUGAAAACCUAAGGCUCAACCUUGGGCUUGCAGUGGGUACGGGCAGACUAGAGUGCGGUAGGGGUGACUGGAAUUCCUGGUGUAGCGGUGGAAUGCGCAGAUAUCAGGAGGAACACCGAUGGCGAAGGCAGGUCACUGGGCCGCAACUGACGCUGAGGAGCGGAAAGCAUGGGGAGCGAACGGG